rnacentral:sRNA from 1 species
GCUGGGCAUGGUGGCACAUGCCUGUAAUCCCAGUGGUUUGGGAGGCUGAGGCAGGAGGAUUGUGAGUUCAAAGCCAGCCUCAGCAAUUUAUCGAGACUUUGUUUUUU